UCACUGGGCGUGUAUUGUAGCCUGCAUAGAGCGCGCGUAUAUCCGGCAACAGUACGGGAGUGCUGCCAUUGCAGCUUCUAUAUUUCAUAUCCUUGACCUCUAAACAUAGCGUUGGUUCUCAGGUGCCCCCGGUGGUUAUGUCCCCUGGCUAUAAUAUACACUGAAUGGGACUAACUACUACCCACUAGGGAUGGACAUCAU